GUAAUGGCCUACCAAGGCGACGACGGGUAGCCGGCCUGAGAGGGUGACCGGCCACACUGGGACUGAGACACGGCCCAGACUCCUACGGGAGGCAGCAGUGGGGAAUAUUGCACAAUGGGCGAAAGCCUGAUGCAGCGACGCCGCGUGAGGGAUGACGGCCUUCGGGUUGUAAACCUCUUUCAGUAGGGAAGAAGCCCUCUUUGGGGGUGACGGUACUUGCAGAAGAAGCGCCGGCUACUACGUGCCAGCAGCCGCGGUAAUACGUAGGGCGCAAGCGUUAUCCGGAAUUAUUGGGCGUAAAGAGCUCGUAGGCGGUUUGUCGCGUCUGCUGUGAAAGACCGGGGCUCAACUCCGGUUCUGCAGUGGGUACGGGCAGACUAGAGUGCAGUAGGGGAGACUGGAAUUCCUGGUGUAGCGGUGAAAUGCGCAGAUAUCAGGAGGAACACCGAUGGCGAAGGCAGGUCUCUGGGCUGUAACUGACGCUGAGGAGCGAAAGCAUGGGGAGCGAACAGGAUUAGAUACCCUGGUAGUCCAUGCCGUAAACGUUGGGCACUAGGUGUGGGGGACAUUCCACGUUUUCCGCGCCGUAGCUAACGCAUUAAGUGCCCCGCCUGGGG
rnacentral:rRNA from 1 species